UAAAAAAUUGAUUAGUUCAUGAGGAGAUAGGAGUAUACGAGGAGCCGAUAUGAUCAUUGUGCAUACUUUAAGAAGUUGGCAAACAACAAGUUUGUUUACUUGCUUCUAUAUGUAGAUGAUAUGUUGAUUAUAUUUGCUAAUCAGAUUGAGUUUGAUAAGAUGAAGAAUCAACUGUCCAAACAUUUCAAAUGAAGGAGUUCGGUGAAGCUCGUAGAAUUCUUGGCAUGGAGAUUCUCAGGGACAUGACAGCUGGAAAUGUUUGACUUUCAGAAGGAGCUUAUGUUCAAAAGGUAUUGAAUAAAUUUGGAGUUGAUGACUCGAGUAAGGCGGUUAGUCUACCAAUUACAUCUCACUUUUAGUUAAAUUUGGAUCAGUGUUCUAAAGAUGAUAAAAAAAAAAAGAUAUACGAUCAGUUAUUUAUGUUAAUGAAAUGGGCAGUUUGAUGCAUGUCAUGGUUUGUACUAAAUCAGGCAUUAUACAAGAAGUUGGUGUUGUGAGCAGGUUCAUGCAUGAUCAAGAAAGGAAACACUUACUGAUUGUGAAGAGUAUUUUGAGGUAUCUGAAGUGUACAAUUGAUGUUGGUUCAAUAUUUGAUAGACAAUCACCUAUUACAGAUUUGUGUGUAGACUACACCGACAAGUGUUAUACAUAGACGAAUAUCUAUGAUUGAUUAUUUAUUCACAUUUGCAGGAGGACUAGUCAAUUGGAGGUUGUUUUUUCAACUUAAUAUUGCUUUGUCCACUACGGAGGCGUAGUACAUAACGAUUACGGAGAUGAUGAAGGAAUCGAUAUUGAUGUAAGGCUUAUUGAAUGCCCUGAGAGUUGUUCAAGAGUCUAUGUCAACGUUUUGUGACAUUCAGAGUAUAAUAUUUUUUGUCAUAAAUUCAAUUCAUCGUGCUCACAUCUAAGACAAUAAUGUAAGGUACUGCUUUAUUUAGGAUUUAAUUGAUGACGACAAUAUUCUGUAAAAUUAAAUAGAUACAAAGAAGAAUCCAACUGACAUGCUCACGAAGUACUACCAGUCAAAAAGUUCACAUACUGCAAAUGUUUGGUGAACAUCUGAGACCAGGACCGAUUGCUCACUCGGGCAUUUUGAAGAACUACGCGAGGCUUGAGCCCUUUGGGAGUGUGGGUAUAUGCAGACAACCAUCUUGGUGCAGCCGAUUCGGAGUUUGAAGCUCAUUUGGUCAUCUCUUAUCUAGAAGGAUUUAAGGUUCAUGAUAGUGACGGCGAGAAGUGGAGUUGUAAACCCAAGCCAUUUUUUCUUUCUCACCACUCGGUGCUCGUGGAAUCUCUCUCCCCGCGGACGAAGACAAAUCAACUUAACGCCGAAACAUCUCAUCCCAAACGUUGUGCUGUAUGAGAACUGGACGGCCAUUGAUGAUGAACAGAUACAAGUCUCCCUCGAAGCGCAGACAUUCUUGAAGCAAAGAGGUCACCAACUCCGCAACAUCUCCGGGGGCUCGGUCGCCCAAUUUGUCGUCCAUAACCUUCAAAAUCCAGUUCCGGUUGUCGAAGAAAGAAAAGAUGGGAUCUUUUAUGGUAAGCUCACUGCUGUCAGUGAUCCUAGAAAAGAUGGAGGACCUGCAGGGAUUUGAGACUCCCAUUUCUCCACUGUCUGGUGUCCCAGCAUUCACUAGCAAUGAAGAAGGUAUGCUUCAGACAUUAAAGAUGUUUUGUGCAAAUAUAUACAUCUAAUGUGUGUGUCUGUGUGAUAUUUGUAAUCCAAAAAUCGGUGUUAGUGUAACAUACUUGUGCCUGUUUCAGUGUAAAUUCUGUAUUAAAGAAACUUAGACUAUUGUGAUUGAUGAACAGUUGGGCAUCUGAAGG